rnacentral:rRNA from 1 species
AUUUUUUAUAUAAAGAGUCGAACCUGCCCAGUGAUAGUAUUUAACGGCCGCGGUACUCUGACCGUGCAAAGGUAGCAUAAUCAUUUGCCCUAUAAUUGAGGGCUUGUAUGAAUGGUUUGACAAGAGCAAAGCUGUCUCUCUAGGAUUUUUUAAAAUUUGGUUUUUAGGUGAAGAAACCUAAAUUUAAUUGAAAGACAAGAAGACCCUAUCGAGCUUAAAACAAAUUUAUUAAAAAGUGUAAUUAUAAUCAAUCAAUUUUAAUAAAAAACUUUGGUUGGGGCGACUAAGGAACAAAAAAAGCUUCUUUUAUUCUAAAAUACUGAUAAGUUUUGAUCCAGAAGAAUCUGAUUAAAAGAAUUAGUUACCGUAGGGAUAACAGCAUAAUCUUUUUUAAGAGCUCUUAUCGAAAAAAAGGUUUGUGACCUCGAUGUUGGACUAGGAUAUCCUAAUAGAUGCAGAAGUC